rnacentral:tRNA from 1 species
GAACCGGUAUGCAAACUGGGUUAAGCGGCCAGGCCUUCAACCUGGUGCCACUAAGGCGUUGCGGGUUCGAUCCCCGUCCGGUUCU